rnacentral:rRNA from 1 species
GUGUGACUGCGUACCUUUUGUAUAAUGGGUCAGCGACUUAUAUUCUGUAGCAAGGUUAACCGAAUAGGGGAGCCGAAGGGAAACCGAGUCUUAACUGGGCGUUAAGUUGCAGGGUAUAGACCCGAAACCCGGUGAUCUAGCCAUGGGCAGGUUGAAGGUUGGGUAACACUAACUGGAGGACCGAACCGACUAAUGUUGAAAAAUUAGCGGAUGACUUGUGGCUGGGGGUGAAAGGCCAAUCAAACCGGGAGAUAGCUGGUUCUCCCCGAAAGCUAUUUAGGUAGCGCCUCGUGAAUUCAUCUCCGGGGGUAGAGCACUGUUUCGGCAAGGGGGUCAUCCCGACUUACCAACCCGAUGCAAACUGCGAAUACCGGAGAAUGUUAUCACGGGAGACACACGGCGGGUGCUAACGUCCGUCGUGAAGAGGGAAACAACCCAGACCGCCAGCUAAGGUCCCAAAGUCAUGGUUAAGUGGGAAACGAUGUGGGAAGGCCCAGACAGCCAGGAUGUUGGCUUAGAAGCAGCCAUCAUUUAAAGAAAGCGUAAUAGCUCACUGGUCGAGUCGGCCUGCGCGGAAGAUGUAACGGGGCUAAACCAUGCACCGAAGCUGCGGCAGCGACGCUUAUGCGUUGUUGGGUAGGGGAGCGUUCUGUAAGCCUGCGAAGGUGUGCUGUGAGGCAUGCUGGAGGUAUCAGAAGUGCGAAUGCUGACAUAAGUAACGAUAAAGCGGGUGAAAAGCCCGCUCGCCGGAAGACCAAGGGUUCCUGUCCAACGUUAAUCGGGGCAGGGUGAGUCGACCCCUAAGGCGAGGCCGAAAGGCGUAGUCGAUGGGAAACAGGUUAAUAUUCCUGUACUUGGUGUUACUGCGAAGGGGGGACGGAGAAGGCUAUGUUGGCCGGGCGACGGUUGUCCCGGUUUAAGCGUGUAGGCUGGUUUUCCAGGCAAAUCCGGAAAAUCAAGGCUGAGGCGUGAUGACGAGGCACUACGGUGCUGAAGCAACAAAUGCCCUGCUUCCAGGAAAAGCCUCUAAGCAUCAGGUAACAUCAAAUCGUACCCCAAACCGACACAGGUGGUCAGGUAGAGAAUACCAAGGCGCUUGAGAGAACUCGGGUGAAGGAACUAGGCAAAAUGGUGCCGUAACUUCGGGAGAAGGCACGCUGAUAUGUAGGUGAAGUCCCUCGCGGAUGGAGCUGAAAUCAGUCGAAGAUACCAGCUGGCUGCAACUGUUUAUUAAAAACACAGCACUGUGCAAACACGAAAGUGGACGUAUACGGUGUGACGCCUGCCCGGUGCCGGAAGGUUAAUUGAUGGGGUCAGCGCAAGCGAAGCUCUUGAUCGAAGCCCCGGUAAACGGCGGCCGUAACUAUAACGGUCCUAAGGUAGCGAAAUUCCUUGUCGGGUAAGUUCCGACCUGCACGAAUGGCGUAAUGAUGGCCAGGCUGUCUCCACCCGAGACUCAGUGAAAUUGAACUCGCUGUGAAGAUGCAGUGUACCCGCGGCAAGACGGAAAGACCCCGUGAACCUUUACUAUAGCUUGACACUGAACAUUGAGCCUUGAUGUGUAGGAUAGGUGGGAGGCUUUGAAGUGUGGACGCCAGUCUGCAUGGAGCCGACCUUGAAAUACCACCCUUUAAUGUUUGAUGUUCUAACGUUGACCCGUAAUCCGGGUUGCGGACAGUGUCUGGUGGGUAGUUUGACUGGGGCGGUCUCCUCCUAAAGAGUAACGGAGGAGCACGAAGGUUGGCUAAUCCUGGUCGGACAUCAGGAGGUUAGUGCAAUGGCAUAAGCCAGCUUGACUGCGAGCGUGACGGCGCGAGCAGGUGCGAAAGCAGGUCAUAGUGAUCCGGUGGUUCUGAAUGGAAGGGCCAUCGCUCAACGGAUAAAAGGUACUCCGGGGAUAACAGGCUGAUACCGCCCAAGAGUUCAUAUCGACGGCGGUGUUUGGCACCUCGAUGUCGGCUCAUCACAUCCUGGGGCUGAAGUAGGUCCCAAGGGUAUGGCUGUUCGCCAUUUAAAGUGGUACGCGAGCUGGGUUUAGAACGUCGUGAGACAGUUCGGUCCCUAUCUGCCGUGGGCGCUGGAGAACUGAGGGGGGCUGCUCCUAGUACGAGAGGACCGGAGUGGACGCAUCACUGGUGUUCGGGUUGUCAUGCCAAUGGCACUGCCCGGUAGCUAAAUGCGGAAGAGAUAAGUGCUGAAAGCAUCUAAGCACGAAACUUGCCCCGAGAUGAGUUCUCCCUGACUCCUUGAGAGUCCUGAAGGAACGUUGAAGACGACGACGUUGAUAGGCCGG